CUGGCCUUGACAUGCAGAGAACUUUCCAGAGAUGGAUUGGUGCCUUCGGGAACUCUGACACAGGUGCUGCAUGGCUGUCGUCAGCUCGUGUUGUGAAAUGUUGGGUUAAGUCCCGUAACGAGCGCAACCCUUGUCCUUAGUUACCAGCACGUUAUGGUGGGCACUCUAAGGAGACUGCCGGUGACAAACCGGAGGAAGGUGGGGAUGACGUCAAGUCAUCAUGGCCCUUACGGCCAGGGCUACACACGUGCUACAAUGGUCGGUACAGAGGGUUGCCAAGCCGCGAGGUGGAGCUAAUCCCAUAAAGUGCGUCGUAGUCCGGAUUGGAGUCUGCAACUCGACUCCAUGAAGUCGGAAUCGCUAGUAAUCGUGGAUCAGAAUGCCACGGUGAAUACGUUCCC
rnacentral:rRNA from 1 species